GUGUCAGCAGCCGCGGUAAUACGGGGGGGGCAAGCGUUGUUCGGAAUUACUGGGCGUAAAGGGCUCGUAGGUGGUCAACUAAGUCAUACGUGAAAUCCCUCGGCUUAACCGGGGAACUGCGCCUUAUACUGGUUGACUUGAGUUUGGGAGAGGGACGCGGAAUUCCAGGUGUAGCGGUGAAAUGCGUAGAUAUCUGGAGGAACACCGGUGGCGAAGGCGGCGUCCUGGACCAAUACUGACACUGAGGAGCGAAAGCCAGGGGAGCAAACGGGAUUAGAUACCCCUGUAGUCC
rnacentral:rRNA from 1 species